rnacentral:sRNA from 1 species
UGCUUUCCGGAAUUGACGAGGAUGAGAACCUCCGGGGGCAAGAGGUUCGACUCGAGCGYAGCGAGAGAACGUUGCGUCAGCAACGGCCCGCAGGGCGAGCCACGCAGUGGCGAGUAAUCCUCUAUCACCGACCA